AUCACUUCUUGGCCUUUUGGCUAAGAUCAAGUGUAGUAUCUUUUGGCUCUUGGAAAUGAUAGCUGAUUGCUCUCUCU
ensembl:snRNA U2 U2 spliceosomal RNA